rfam:Oryza rufipogon genomic scaffold, chr10
GCCGAGCCAGGUAGCGUUGGCUUGUCACCCGAGCGGGGGCAAUAAGGUGGUGUUUGGAUGCCUGGUCGUUUGCGCUUGGGUCUGCGCCUGUGGUUUGCACUAUGCGGCCCGCCCGUUCCAAGUUGCGUAGCGUGUGUGGGGCGCCUGGGCGAAGGCUCGAGCGUCCCUGCACCUAGAGUGGCGGGUAUUGCGUGAGGCUGGUUUCACAGAGCAGCGAGUACCGCCCGCUUCCAACGGUGGAAGGAUAACGGGCCACUGCAGCCCUGGCCCGCUUCCGGCCCAAGUGCCUUCCAUGGCAGACCACCACCUUU